UAAAAAGGGACAAUUUUGGGUUUUUUUUUUUUUAGUGGCUGCUGCUCCCUCCUGAAAUUCAGCAUCGUGCUGGUGGCAGUGAGGAGCAGGUCCUGGUUGGAUGGAGUUUGGAGCACCCUGGGCUGUGGAAGGUGUCCCUGCCCAUGGAACUGGCUGAUCUUCAACUUCCCUUCCAACCCACCCCAGUCUGUGACUUUGGCUCCUUCUCUGCACACCUUCCAGCAAAGAAUGAAGAUCAUCAGAGAUCUUCUGCAGCCAAAGAAUGAAGGGGAAAAGCUUUUGGGACACAGAGCUGGGCUUGUGGCCCCUGACCCACCUGCAGUGCUCCAAACGUCGCCUCCUGAAGGUCCAGCACCUCCUGGAACUGCAGCACCAGCCAGGGGUGGUUUGAAGGUCACCCUGAGACCCAGAGUGACUCAGAUCCAGUGGCAGCCGCUGGUGCAGUCUCCCACAGUGAAUUCCAGAGGAUCCUGGGGUGAAACCUGCAGGAGAGGAGGAGGAGAGGAUGGGCAAAGUGUUUCCCAUGGUGUUUCCCUCCACACAGCAGAGCCCUGGGGCCAAGAACGGGAAUUUGGGGGUUGAGGAGCUCACCAAGAAGCUGAAAAUUAGUUUUUUUCCUGAAUUUGUCUUGGGAUGAGAAGAUCAGCAAGAACAAAUCUCCUCUGGUGAAGUUUCUGGUGGUGUGGAGAAGGUGAAGAGCUGGUGGCCACACAAUCUUCUCCUCCACAUCCCAGCCACCAAAACCACACUGCAUUUUUGCACUGGAAUUCCUCACUGAGGGGAAAAAAAACAAACCAGACACAAAGAAAAUAUUCCAGGCCUGGAAUUCCUCCCCGUGAUAGGUUUGGAUUGUGGUUUGCAGUAUUUCUUUACCUUCAAGCACUUCCACUGCUGCUCUGAUGAACUCUGCAGGCUCCACAGGGCAGGGGGGUCCUGGGGAAAUCCCGCUGCAAUCAACUCCAAGAAGAGAUUCAACAUCACGGGGGUUUAGGUGGAAACAGUAAACUUGAUUUAUUGAAAAAAAAAUCUAUUACAUUUAUUCCUUUAUUACACAGGUUUAAAAUAUUUAAAAAUAGCUCUUAUGGGCAUUACACUGAAAUUUUAUGACAUGUUUAUUGGACUUUGAAGAAAUGUACAAUAUGGCAUUUGACACUAUAUUUUAAAAAGGGCCUUGUGUACUAAAAGUUGGGGUAUUUUUUUCCAUAGGUUUUAUUUUUCUUAUCAACAUUUGUUCAAGUCAAUAUAUAUUAAGGGGAGGAGGGAAAUAAAAUUACACAAAAAGAAAGGUCUGCAAAUACAAGUAGUAAUUUUAUUGCAAUAUACCGUAGCUAAGUGGUCUGGGGGGAUUGGAACAGUUGGGAGCUCAGUACAAUUACAACACUGUGGAAUUCAACAGAGGAAAUUUAUUAUUCUUUUUUCUUUUUUUUUUUUCUUCUUCUUCAAGCAGAGAAAUCAAAGGAAAAAAAAAAAAAAAAAGCUCCCUUGAUGAGAAAAUUGAGAACAGAAUCCCAUGACCUGGGCAGACACACAGGUGUGGACAAAUAUCAGAAAAAAUCAGGAUAUGG